rnacentral:tRNA from 1 species
AACUCCCAAAGCUAAGGUUCUGAAUUGAACUACCCUCUG